rnacentral:rRNA from 1 species
AGAGUUUGAUCCUGGCUCAGGAUGAACGCUAGCUACAGGCUUAACACAUGCAAGUCGAGGGGAAACGACAUCGAAAGCUUGCUUUUGAUGGGCGUCGACCGGCGCACGGGUGAGUAACGCGUAUCCAACCUGCCCACCACUUGGGGAUAACCUUGCGAAAGUAAGACUAAUACCCAAUGAUAUCUCUAGAAGACAUCUGAAAGAGAUUAAAGAUUUAUCGGUGAUGGAUGGGGAUGCGUCUGAUUAGCUUGUUGGCGGGGUAACGGCCCACCAAGGCAACGAUCAGUAGGGGUUCUGAGAGGAAGGUCCCCCACAUUGGAACUGAGACACGGUCCAAACUCCUACGGGAGGCAGCAGUGAGGAAUAUUGGUCAAUGGACGAGAGUCUGAACCAGCCAAGUAGCGUGCAGGAAGACGGCCCUAUGGGUUGUAAACUGCUUUUAUAAGGGAAUAAAGUGAGUCUCGUGAGACUUUUUGCAUGUACCUUAUGAAUAAGGACCGGCUAAUUCCGUGCCAGCAGCCGCGGUAAUACGGAAGGUCCGGGCGUUAUCCGGAUUUAUUGGGUUUAAAGGGAGCGUAGGCCGGAGAUUAAGCGUGUUGUGAAAUGUAGAUGCUCAACAUCUGAACUGCAGCGCGAACUGGUUUCCUUGAGUACGCACAAAGUGGGCGGAAUUCGUGGUGUAGCGGUGAAAUGCUUAGAUAUCACGAAGAACUCCGAUUGCGAAGGCAGCUCACUGGAGCGCAACUGACGCUGAAGCUCGAAAGUGCGGGUAUCGAACAGGAUUAGAUACCCUGGUAGUCCGCACGGUAAACGAUGGAUGCCCGCUGUUGGUCUGAAUAGGUCAGCGGCCAAGCGAAAGCAUUAAGCAUCCCACCUGGGGAGUACGCCGGCAACGGUGAAACUCAAAGGAAUUGACGGGGGCCCGCACAAGCGGAGGAACAUGUGGUUUAAUUCGAUGAUACGCGAGGAACCUUACCCGGGCUUGAAUUGCAGAGGAAGGAUUUGGAGACAAUGACGCCCUUCGGGGCCUCUGUGAAGGUGCUGCAUGGUUGUCGUCAGCUCGUGCCGUGAGGUGUCGGCU